rnacentral:rRNA from 1 species
CGCUGGCGGCGUGCUUAACACAUGCAAGUCGAACGAUGACGGUGGUGCUUGCACCGCCUGAUUAGUGGCGAACGGGUGAGUAACACGUGAGUAACCUGCCCUCCACUUCGGGAUAACCUCGGGAAAUCGUGGCUAAUACCGGAUAUGAGCACUCAUCGCAUGGUGAGUGCUGGAAAGAUUUAUCGGUGGGGGAUGGACUCGCGGCCUAUCAGUUUGUUGGUGAGGUGAUGGCUCACCAAGACGAUGACGGGUAGCCGGCCUGAGAGGGCGACCGGCCACACUGGGACUGAGACACGGCCCAGACUCCUACGGGAGGCAGCAGUGGGGAAUAUUGCACAAUGGGCGAAAGCCUGAUGCAGCGACGCCGCGUGGGGGAUGACGGCCUUCGGGUUGUAAACCCCUUUCAGUAGGGAAAGC